ensembl:lncRNA
AGGAGAAGGGGCGGUGGGCGUGGCGGGUGUGGCGGAAGAGAGUGGUCUGACAUACCCCCCACCACACAGUAACUCGAAGACCACAGGGAUGCUGCCUAAAUUCUCGACACCCAAGCGUGAUCCAGAUCCUGAAGGCGAGGCCGGGGCAGGAAGGAAAUCUCAAGAGUCACCAGGCAGAGCCCAGGGGGUUUUGACAUCUCGGCUCUGUGGUCCCUCACCUCCAAUGCCACCUCCAUAGUCUCUGUAGAGGGGACGUUGGCUGUUGUGGGAUCCCAGCCAGAGGGCGGAGGUGGGCGGGAAUGGGCGGGGGCUAGGAGAGGAGGACGUUUAGUCCUCCAUAGCCUUUCCUCUGGUGCGACAGGGAGGGAGGAGACUGUGUGUGCCGGGGGAGAGGCUGAUGCCUCUGGAGGCCACGGCAGCCUCCUCUGGGCUCAAGCUCCAUGGAGCAUGUGGUCCCCACUCUGUCUGCAGCUCGACUGGCCAGGUUGGUGCCCUAUGCUGGGUUAUGAAGAUGGGAGGUGUGUGUGUGCAUGUAAAGGAAAGAGAGAGGAGGGAGGGAAUGAUCCAGAGAGGGGGGCAGGAGAGAAUAAGGAGGGAAGAAAUGAGGAGGAGAGAAUGUAGGAGAAGGGAGAAGGUAAAGGAGGGAGAGAAAACAGAGAAAGGACAUCCCUUUCUGUGCUAUGUUCUUUCCCUGCUUCUUGCCAAGGAGAAGGGACCUGCCCCGCGUCCCACAGUUGGGUGGGGGCAGAGUGGCAGACUCCAUCAGCUACACGUCUGAUCUUUUUCAUCUUCUGCUAGAGGGAGUGCUGGUGAUGGGACCCAGUCAUUGCUAUUCUGUUCAGGAAGCUGGAUGCUGCAGGCUCACGUGGGAGCCAUCUUCCAGCCCCCUGGUCCCAAAGCCACCAGCUGGGCAGCCUGGCAGCCCUGGCUGUGACACUGAAGCCCCCUGUGCUUGGUCCUCGGGCCCAGGAGGGGCUGAGCAGUGGGUAUCAUCCUCGCUAGCUGCACCAUCCCUGCCGGGAGCCCUGAGAGCAGAUGAGAAUCUGGUGAUGCUGGAGUCUUGGUGGGGGGCCGUCAACUUCCUGCAGCGUGUUCACCGGCUGCAGAAGCUCGUGUCAGAUACGGGCGCAACGUUUAACUGGUCUGGCUGCGUGGAAGUCAGCUGCCCUGUAGGCGACACAACCGCCUUCAUUUCUAGCAGGGCUCGAGGGUCAGGAGCCAGCCCGGUGCUGUGGGAAGAGCAGGAUCCAGAGACAGGCAGAGCUGUGGCACCUUCCAGCUCCGCAGGUCCCGUCACCUCCCUGAGCCCCAGCUUCCUCAUUUGUCAAAUGGGGAUGAUCCUAGUGGAGGUGCGUUUGCUGACAUGUAUGAAAAACUUACUGUUCCAAAUGCUUUGGGCAUUAACUCUAAUUUAUCCUCAUAACAGACUGUUCCGGUUUUCUAUUUCUGUGAAACUUAGUGGCUUAAAAUGUCAACUGAUCAUUAUGUGUCCCACUUCUGUGGCUUGGCUGGGCUCAGCUGGGCGCUCCUGGCUUGAGGUCUCUCAUGCAGUCGUGGGUCAGGGGCAGCUGGAGCUGGAAUCAUCUGAAGGCUCGACUGGGCUGGGUGUCCAAGGGGCGUCUUCACUCACAGACCCAGCACCAUGGUGCCUCUCUCUCCACGGGGCCUCAGCCACCAGGACCCUUCCACGUGACUUGGGCUUCUCACUGCGUGGGGUGUAUUCAUUUUUCUGUUGCUGCUGUAACAAAUGACCACAAAUUUAGCAGUUCAAAAAAAAAAUACACACUGAUUGUGUCACAGUCUGGAGGCCAGAAGGACAGCGUGGCUCACUGGGUCCUUUGCUCAGAGUCUCAGGAAGCCAAAAUCAAGCUGUGAGUGGGGCUGUGUUCCUUUCUGGAAGCUCUGAGAAUGAACCCACUUCAAGCUCAUUCAGGUUGCUGGCUGAAUGCAGGAACCUGUGGUUGUCGGAGUGGGGUCCUCGUUUCCACCCAGGUACUGGUCUUUGCUCCCAGAGGCUGCCCACAUUCCCUCUCCGGUUCUCCAGGUGGCUCCUUCCAGCAACAGCAGGAUGAGUCUCUUUCAUGCUUUGAGUCUCUCUGACUUCUCCUUCUGCUGCAUCUCUCUGCCUCCAGUCAGAGGAAGCUCUCUGCUUUUAAGGGCUCAUGUGACAGCUGGGGCCCACGGGGUGAUCCAGGAUAAUCUGAUCUUAAGGUCCAUAGCUGUAAUCACAUCUGGAAAGCCCCUUUUGCUCUAUAAAGUAACAUCCUCACAGGUUCCUGGACCUCUUUAGGGGGCCAUUCUGUCUGCCGCAGGUGGUCUCAAGGGAGUUCUGUGCUGCCAGGCCGGUGAAAGGCUAUGCCCGUAUCUGGCCUAGGGUCCCUCCUGCUGAGGUCUGUUGGGCAAAGCACGACCGACCCCACCCCGACUGAACGGGGUGGAGAAACAGACCCCACACUGUGGGAGAACAUGUGGCAGGGGAAAUGUUGUUGGGACCAUCUUUAGAACAUCAAAUCUGCCACACCACCCUAGCUCAUUCUCAUCUCCUUUUACAAAUGAGGAAACGGAGGCACAGAGGAGUUACGUAACUUGCCUACAAUCCAACAGCCGGUAUCUGACGGUCAGGAGUUGGAGCGAGCAGGUGGCUCCAGGCCCUGCCCUCUUAUCCAUCAGCCAGAUCCGAAUGCCCGUGAUGAUCUGAGUGCCGCGCCGGCCCGGGCAGGUAGCCGUGAGCAGCCCGGGUCUUCGUUAGCGUCUACAGUCAGCCUGUUGCUGAUUCCCGGUCCGACCACCUUCCAGCCGCGUGACCUAGAGUGAGGCAGGCACAGCCGCUUCCCUCGGAGAGGGGACAGUAUUGUGGCUGAAGCGGACCAUUAACAGCUGAUAGCAUUGCGGGAUGAUGAGCAUUUGGGGGGGGCGUGGUGUAAGGGAGCCCUGGGGGGUCUAGCAGGAGGCCUAACCCGCUCCAGAGGGAGGAGACGGCCUCCUGGGGAAAAGCCAACCUGAGGCCUUAAGGAAGAGAGUCACCGAGAGGAGAAAUGGCAGGAAGUCCAGGGUUUGGGCCAAGAAGAGCAUGAAUGUGUAAAGGUCUGACAUCUGAGAAAACGUGGCGCCUUUCCUCUGGGAUCAUUCAUUUGGGGCACAGCAGGGGCAGUGGGUUGAAUAGUGUCUCCCUUGUCCCUGUACCGAAUUCACGUCCACCCAGAACCCAGAACGUGACCUUAUUUUGGAAUGAGGGUCUUUGCAGAUGUAAUUAGUUGAGAGUCUCGAGAUGAUGUCCUACUGGAUUAGGAUGGGCCCUAAAUUGGAUGACUGAUGUCCUUAUACGAGACAGGAGGGGACCCGAGACAGACACAGAGACCCUCAGGGGAGAAGACGGUGUGAAGAUGGAGACAGAGGUUGCAAUGAUGCAUCCAAAAGCCAAGGAACGCCCAAGGAUUUCCGCAGCCACAGGAAGCCAGGAGAGAGGCAGGGACCGGAUGCUCCCUCAGAUGCCCCACGAGUGACCGAACCUGCCAUUCACCUUGAUUUCAGGCUUCUCGCCUCCAGAACUGUGCGGGAACACGUUUCUGUUGUUUUCAGCUACUAAACUGUGGUAAUCUGUCACAGCAGCCCUAGGAAACCAAUACGGCCCAGCAGGAGGCCACGGGCUCCAGGCCGUGUCGGGGAGAGGUGACAGGACCCACGGGGGUUUGCCUAUGAGAGGCGUUCUCCAAGGCAAGUCAUUGCUAUCAGGAGGCAUUAGCGAACCUUGGAAAAGCAGUCUAUCCCUGGUCAGUAAACUCCCAGAUGCCAGAACAUCAAGAAUACAGAAAAUAAGAAAAUAUAGUGUUAUGCAAGGUACGAAGGAUCACACCCAAUUUGUCCAUGAGAUAACCAUGAAUCCAAGAAGGGGCAUAAUUUCUCCAGGGUGACACAGCUAGUAAAUGAAGGUGCUGGGUCAAAUUUCAAGCCAGGUCAAAUAAAUCUUUAUUGAUAGAAAGAAAGAAAGAAAGAAAGAAAGAAAGNNNNNNNNNNNNNNNNNNNNAGGAGUGUUUGGAUCCGAUUACCUGCUCUUUGGCAAGCGGUAGGAUUAAUGCCAUGGCUAUUUUGGCCACAGAUGCCUCUGGUUUGGUUACCUACCUUGCCGACUCAUUAGCAGAGAUUCACAAUGCCUGGUUUAUUUUGCUAGUCUGAGCUAGGCUGGGGCCUUUGGGCUGGGAACACUUUGCUUAUGUACCUUUUUAUAUGUUUUUUGGGUCCUUGGACACAUUCCCCAAAAUGUUGGUUGUUUCAUUAAUGUCUCAGUGGAGUAAUCAUAAUCACAAACAUCGAUAUUAUUUAUUGAGCUUCUACUCUGUGCCACGUGCUUUGGACUGAUCAUCUCAACAGUCCUGCGUGGUGGCACAAGGAUCCCUAUAGUAAUAAUGAUAAUAAUAAUGACAACAGCAACAAUGGCGCUAACAACAAUAACAGUAAGAGGAAACAUUUCUCGAGUGUUAGUCACUAGGUGGCGGGCACUGGCCGCUGUGAUGUGAGCACUGUUGUUAUGCCAUGCCCAUGUGGAUGUUUGGGCUGAAUCUCAGAGACUUCCCAGCAUUUCUGACCUCCGGAAGGAGAUGGCGCAGUGUUUUGCUGAAAGAGCAUGGGCCCAUCCUCCUUCCAUCUUCCCAGAGGGCGGGAGAGGGCCGCCCGCCCACAGGCCUCAGAUUGGAAGGUAUGAAGAAAGUUCACACAGUUCUGGAGGGCAGCCCCCAAGUAGUGCCCACUCGGAUCAGAAGGUGCCCAGGCUCAGGGCAGAGUGCUCGAAAUUGCUAAUAACAGCCAAAUGGCCUUCCUGCAUUAAUCGCCAUGUUCUCGGCCCUUGGGACUGGAGGUGAGCUGGGGGCUCUUGAGAGAAAUGCUACUCUCUGUCUCUCUCAUCCACAGCACCCCACCCCCGGCCUGCCCCCAGCUCUGCUGUUCCCCAAGGAGACGGCUGGCCACAGACUGCCUCCCCCAACUCCUGCCCUGAGGGUGACACCUCGGCAGGAUAUUGGGGUGGGGGGAAGGGCUGGUAUCCACUCCUCCCCCCACCAAUCCCAUUCCAUUUACUAGUAAAACACUCCUGCAUCAGCACUAAAUUUUGAUUAAAAAAAUAGAGAAACUGCUGAUGCCCCCAUCCUGAGAUGAUGAUUCUUUCCACUUCUCUGCCUCCCCCUCCAGUCUUUGGCCAGGUAAUAGAGAACCCAGCUUGAACAGAGCCUGUCCUGUUUGCCAACGGGUAAGCACGCGGGUCCUGGAGCCCAGCUGGGCACGGAGCCUGCCUCUGCCGCUUUGUAGCUGUGGGACUCUUGGCAAGUCGCUGAUCCUCUCUGAGCCUCAGUUUCCUCAUCUGUAACAUGGGGUAACAACAUUGCCAACCUCAGAGGAAGAUGGGUGCGGAUGUUAGCUCAGGGCUGGUCUUCCUCAGCAAAAAGAGGAGGAUUAGCAGCAGUUAGCUCAGGGUUAACCUUCCUCAAAAAGCAAAAAGCAAAAAACAAAACAAACAAAACAACAACAACAAAGAUCGCCAACCUCGGACGGUUGUCGUAAAGAUUAAAUGAGACAGUAAUCAGAGCUGUAGCGUGGUGCCUGGUGGGGAGCCGAGGUCCUCGAGCGGGGGCUCUUGGUUCAUGGGUGGUUCCUAUCCCCUCACUCAGGGCUCCUUGAGCCGCCACAGGGCCCCCCUCCCCGCCGAGUCAACUCCACCUUGUCCGUUAGAUCUCAGUUCAAACAUCACCUCCUCAGGGAGGACCCCCUGCACCUCUGGUCUGGGCCGCCCUCUUUGUUAGAGCUGCUCAUUUGCCUUCUGUCUUCACAGCAGAAGCAAGAUGUGUCCCCAAGUCUGAGGGGACGCCUGCCUGGCUGGGUCGCUGCAGCUUGCAUCCAGGGCCCGUCAUCUGGGCUUUUGCAGCAUCCGCACCGGGCGGAGAGGCGUCCCAAAUGGGCCCAAGUGGACCACUUGUCGCAGCUGACCGCAGAGGGGGUGAAGCCAGCCCUGCUCCCCAACCCUCGGGUGGGCACAAUCUUGGGCCCACUUGGAGACUGAAGGCAGGCAUCUUGGGGGCUUGGGGAGGGGCGAGGGGGAAGAGAGACAUUUCCCUUGCUGGCGAUGUCAGCUUCUUCUGCCUUGCCAGGACCGAGUCUCAAAGGAUGAAGACUCCUGGGUGCACUUUAUCCCCUCCCUCCAGGCCUGGGACACUGGGCUCACUGGCGAAGGCUCAGGAGGGCCUAGGAUGCUCCUGGGACGGACUUCCCAGGGACCGGCUCUGCUUGGUGAUUGAUGAUAAUGACACCAGUUGGAACCAAACGCAUAUUACCCUGUUGGUAAAUUUCAUUUGCAAGAUCUGCUUCUCCCGCGGUCCCUCCGGGAGCACAACACUUCAGUGUUUUAAGUCUCUAUUAGCUAAAUUUUGCAAACUGGCCUCAGCUGGAUCACAACAAACCCGAGCUAUCCAGGUUUCUGGGGACACAUUCAUUCCAGCCUCCUUUUGGCUGGCCUGUGAGAUAGUCAAGGGUCGAGGUUGUGGCCUCGGAGAGAGGAGAGCUGGGUUCAAAUCUUGGCUGUUCCAUUUCCCAGCCGUGUGGCCUUGGACAGAUGACUUCAUGUCUCUGAGCCUCAUCUUGCUCAUCUAUAAAAUGGGAGCAAUAACAUUCAGAGGAGGGGGAGUGAGGUGAGGAUGCUUGUUCUCCUGUGACCUCUUCGCAGGGUCAGUCAGGGUCAAGUGGACCUCUUGAUUGAAGGUCACAGCUCCCAUCCCACAGCCCUCUUCUUACAACUUUCUCUGUCUCCAGAUUCUGGUAACUGCUUCCUCCUCCUCAUCCCAGGAUUAGCUUUCAAAACUAACUUCAUCUUUCCCAUCCUCUCGUCCUCCUUGUCCCUUAGGCUCUGUUUUCCCCCACCCCUGCUGGGACUUAGCAUCUUUCUCUGCAGGGCCUCAAUUCUUGCCACUGUGAAUAAUUCCUUCCUCUGAACCCACUUCCUGAAGUAUCAGCUGAUAACAGAUUCCAGCAGGGGUUCUCCCUCUGGGGUCCAGGGGUUGUGCGGAAUUUUGCAUCUGUCUGCAUUUGUCCAGUAAGAGAGUUCAUGGCUUUCCUUCCUUCCACCCCCUACAUUCUCAAUCAGAAAAAGUUCAGAACCAUUGGGUAUCUGGUACCUGUCAUUUCUCCCAGGAUCACUGGAUUUUACAGAUGGAUUUUGAAUAGCCAAAUGCAUGAUGGGGGGAAUCGUGGUGGAAUUAUUAUAUGGGUUGCAAAGAUAACAGGGCCUGGGGCAGCCUGGAGCUUCCUCAGCUGGCCCUACACAGACCAUGCUGUGCUAAUGCUGCUUAAUGGACAGCUUGCUGAUUUUAUGAUCCCAAAGUGGGAAAACAAAGCCUGGGAGAUUCACGUAGGAUUAGAAAGAGGCCAGAUUUCUUAUUCUCUAAGACUUUUUCAGAGUGAAGGAGAAAGGAAAAUACUAAUAAAAGAUGACAUGCAAAAUUAAAUGGACCGGAGAACAGAUAACAAAAUAAAUCUCGUGCCCAAGGAGUGUGGCUGGCUGAUGUUGGCGGGAGAAUAUUUAAGAGGGGAAGAAAUGGAUAAAAGAAAGAAAAAGGAGAGUUUCUCCCUCUUUUCUGGCAGUGAUCCAGUCUCUAUCUUUAGGAAUUGGACAGCAGAGCGCGCAUGGCCGUGUUUCUUAGCAACCUCAGGUGGUCCAGCAUCAGGGGGAGGUAAAUCUUUGGGGGAUGGAAUUCUUUUCCUUUUUUCAUUCUCUUCUUUUCCUCCUCCCUCUCUGCUCUCUGUUUCUGUUCUCUGUCUGUCUUUAUUAAGCUCUGACAAGAUGCUGGGUGUGGCGGUAGGUGCUUUUACCAACAUUGUCUCAGAUUUGCAACUUGCCGGCGAUGUGACCUUGGACAUAAGAUUGUUCCUUCCUUGGUGGAGCGGUUGCCGAGCUUGCACGAAAUGAUACAUCUAAAGCCAUCUGUGUCUGGGAGCAGAAGUCAAUUAAUAAAUGUUACUUCUCCCCCUUUCUCCUUGUAACAAAGUUGGCCAGCCCCUAAUGCAUCUAAUUAAUAACUGUGCAUUUUAAAGAUACUGACACAGCGAAGAAGAAACUGUGGCUUCUUUUCUUGCCCAGAGGAGGGAACCUGGACGUAAAGGGGCUGAAGUUGCAUGUUUUGAAAUGUGAAGGUGGGCCCUUGAUUCUUGUUUUAAGGUGUGGAGUAGGCAGAGAUGGUUUUGAUAUGCAAAUAUGCAUUGUGUUGCCAUGACAAAGAUGUUGCAAGGAAAUAGAAAAUCACAGAACCUCAAAGCCCAGAACCGAUUUUCAAGCAAAGUAACCUCAUUUUCUAAGCCCAAAUUGGGACGGAGGGUCAGAAGGGUGCAGGUGUUCUUAUGGGGACAGCAGGACAAAGCCAUAUUGUUGAGAGUUUGAGAUGCUUUCUUUUAAACUUUUUAACAUAGCUGAAAUUAGAAUGCCUUUUGUGUGUGUGCUCAAUGUAGUUUUUUUCUUCUUCUAAGUCCAGGAAAGCUGUUAUUAUACACAAUGUGCCUCUUACAAGCGAUGGUAUCUCAAAAUCAAGCAAAUGUGGUUUUGAAAUUAGAACCCGAAUCAACGAUCAGUCCAAAGUGAGAGCUCCUUGUUCUCUUCUGUGCUGUGAAGAGGGUAGACCAGUUGAUCACCCGUCUAACACUGGUGUGCCGGGAGGUGCCGGCGCCCCAGCUACCCCCAGCAUCUGCCUCCAUCUUCUUGUGCUUCCAUCCUGAGGGCCCUUUGGGGUAAAGCAUGAUCUGCCUGUGCUUGGGGAAGGCUAGAAGCACCAGGGAGUUAAUACUCCUGGAAACAGCCCUCAGCCAACACGGCCAGAGAGUUGGUGGAAUACAUGGAAGAUCGCUCGCCCUUUAAAGGGAAGCUGCAAGGUAUGUUCUCCCCCGUCCUGCCCAGAGUUCCCCGUGGUCCUGAGCUCCAGUUUGCACGCAGGGCAUCUUGCUUGUUAACACAUCCUUGGCUGCCCGUCCCUCCUUCCCUGUCUCACUUUCCUCUUCCUCCUGCUGAUGUAUCUGGGAUCCCCUCCCAAAGAAAUGAAUUGCACCAGAAACCUCGUGUGAUGCUUAAUUUUCUGCAUCAACUUUGCUGGGCCACCAGAUGCCCAGAGAACUGGUAAAACAUUAUUUCUGGGUGUGCCCGUGAGGGUGUUUCCAGAAGCGAAUGGCAUUUUAAUUGGUAGACUGAGUAAAGCAGAUUGCCCUUACCACUGUGGGUGGACGCCAUCCAAUCUGUGGAGGGCCAGAAUAGAACGGAAAGGCAGGGGAAGGAGAAUUGACUGCCUGACUGUUGAGCUGGAACGUUGCUGAACUGCUGGCCUCUGUGCUCGUGGUCCUUAGGCCUUCAGACCUGGCCUGGAAUCUAACCACUGGCUCCCCGGCUCCUGGGCCUUCAGAAUACACACACUGGCAUCCCUGAGCCUCCAGCUUGUAGAUGAAAGAUGGUGGGACUUCGUCUCCAUCAUCAUGUGAGCCAAUACCUUAUGACAAAUAUAUGGAUCCUGUGGUUCCCUUCUCUAGAGAACCCUAAUACACCUUGUCUCGGAGUCUGCUGCUGGGGACCCCAGCCUGAGACCGCUGGCCAUCUGUGACUUCAUGGGGGCCUCUCUACUGGGGGGACAGGUACCGUGAAGCCUGUCCCCAGGGUAUCUUGUCAAUAUUGAAGCAGCUGGGCAGCCGUGGAGCAGGAAAAGGAGAACUGCCUUGAAAGCCAGAUGACUCCGCUCAAAUGCCAGCAUUGCCUCUCACCACCUGUGCGAGCUCGGGCACCAUCUGAAUCCUGCUAAAGCCUCAGUUUCCCCAUCUGUAAAAUGAAAGAAGUAAUCUUUCCUACGAGGCUGGAGCGAAGCUCAGAAAAUAGUCUGCUUGUAUGUGAAAGGACUUUGUAAAUUGAUAAACCACGUGCAUCAGUAUUCUUGUAAUUGAGAGGGAGGAUGACUCAGGAGAAAAACACAGACUUUGGGGUCUUGACUCAGCUUGAUUCAGACCCCUGACCUGCUGCAUCUCAUCCACACUCUUGAUCAACUAACAGAAGUGCUUUGAGGCUUGUUUCCUCAUCUGCCAAAUGGAUGUAUUCAUGAGGGGACUAAGCAUGUAUUAGUGAGGGUACAAAGCUGUAACAAAGAGGCCCCUGAAUAGUAUAUAGAAGUCUAUUUUCUCUCUCACCCAGGGGGCUUAGCAUGAGCGCUCCAAGGCUGGCAUCUCUACUCCACCGUCAUCCAGGGACCCAGCUUCCCUCCACUUUGCUGCUCUGCCAACAUCAGCAUGGCAAAGCGGGCUCACCCGCAAGACACCAUGGAACGGGGACUAGCCAUCACUUUCCAUGUGAUAUGGAAGCUUCACAUGUUCCCUCUGUUUAUUUCCCACAGGUUAGAUUGUCACAUGGUUGCACCUUGUUGCAAGGGAGGCUGGGAAAUCCUACCUCUUCCUGGGCUCCAAGGCUAUGCAUCUUGUUAAAAUUUGGAGGGGUCUCUAUUACUAAGAGGAAAAGAAAAGAUGCCAAGAGGCAACUAGCAAUUUCUGCAAGAGGGGUAAUUUCUACCACACUGGGUUGUUGUGAAGCUUAAAUGAGAUCCUGUCUGCCAAGAGCCAGCACAGAACAUGUCCUUAAUAAUUUAGUCCCUGUUUGUCUUUAUCGCUACAGCAGCAGACCAGAGGUACUGGAGCCUGAGGAUAAGCUGAGGUGGGGCAUCUGGUAAUGAGCCAGGACCCCUUCAGAGGCCCUUUGCCGAGCCAGCGCCUCCUUGCUUCCCUGAUCUGAGGGGGGCUGACCCGUCCCUGUGCUCUCCUCCCUGAGCAUCCCGGCCCUGGCUCCCCAAAGCCCACCUUGGUGAGGGAAUCUGGUUUCCCGUCAUGACUGGGCAGGCGGUGGACCAUUACCGGAGGAAUUCGAAAUUGGCUGGGCCCACCCUGCAGAAGACCCCAAUCUCCAAUCCAGCUCACCUUUCAGGAUCUCCAGAGGGGCUUUCCAGCCCACCUGUGCGAGUGACGUUCCACCCGGAGGGGGCAUUCGUCCGUGGGGUGGUCCGAAGGAGAGCGGAAGAAACCCAGACAGGAGCGGGAUAUAGUGAAUGAGAAUGAGCCCACGGACAGGCUCUGAAUUCCGCUCCUUCCUCUGCUUUGGACUUGCUGUGUGACUUGAAGCAUGUCUUUGUGCCUCUGGUCUCCCCUUGCCACAUCUUUCUCUGGUUUUCUAGAGUCUAAGGCAGACCAACCAGCGGGUGUGCGUUCGCCUCACCCGGCCUGGUGUUUCUGGGCUUUAUUUGGGAGGGAAAAUUCAUAUUUGGGUUCAGUUUAGCUUGGGACUUAGGAAAGAGGUCCAGUAGUCAUUCGUUUUAGUGGUGUUUAUUGAGCACCUGCUGUGUACCAGGCCCCACCACCCUGGGCUCAAGGAGCUCACGGGGAGAGGUGGCGGAGAAGAGCAUGAGCAUCCAAGCAGAUGAUGACAACGCAGUCCAAUGACCAUGGAGGGAGAACUGAGGACGUCAGGGCUGACUAUGCCCAAAGACUUCGGAAAAGAGGCUGCGGUUUUUGAAUAAUCAAAGGUGCUGAUAUUUACUGAGUCGUUAGCACGUGCCAGACUCUGUGCCGAGGGAUUUGCAUGCAGUAUCUCGCCAGUCUUCCCUUUAGCCCUAGGAGGUAGGUUCAACUAUUCACACCCGUUUAUAGAUGAGAAAGCUGAGGCUCAGAGAGGUUAAGUAACUUGCAUCAGACCACACAGCUAGGAAGAGGCAGAGUUGCAGGCUUGUUGUCAGCAUACUGCAGUUCCAUAGCCAAAUCCUGGCCCAUGGCCUGUUUUUGUAAACAAAGUUUUACUGGAACCUAGACACACUCACUCAUUUACAUGUUAUCUGUGACAGAGCUGAUUAGUUGUUACGAGACCAAAUGACCUGCAAAGCUGAAAAUAUUUACCGUCUGAUCUUUUACAGAAAAACUUUGAGCCCUGCUUUAUUACAUUGUCAUUUAAUUGUCACAACAACCUGGUUAUCGCCCCCCUUAUACCAGGUGGGGAAACUGAGGCACGGGGAGGCAAAGUUGCUUGUCCAUGGUCCCACAGCAGAGCUGCGAUUAGCACUCUGGCUGGGGCCCCGAGGCUUUGUCCCUAACCACUCUGCCCACUGUCCUUCCAGUCCUAAGCGAGGACUGCUCCUUAUGUUUAAUUUUCGCAUCUCGUUCAGCGUGAGGAAGAGAAAAGGUACUUGUUGGAACUGGCUACAAGCAGGUGUCAAAAUAUUUUCUGUGGCCCCAGAGAUGUGCAUUGGGAAGGAAAAUCACGCGGACCGGAGCUUUCAAUAUUUUUCUUUGUGGUGACCACAUAACGAGGGCUUUGGCAGCUGGCCCAAAAUGGUCCAUCCGCCGCAGGCUGUGGGGACGGGCUGGAAAAGCAGAUAAUAAUAGUCCUGAGUUUAUGGGGUUGCUGCAAGGACUCAAUGAGGUAAUAUGUGCAAAGUGCCAGAACUGUGGCUGACACCUAGUCAGGUCCACAUACGCAUUGGCUAUUUUGUCCUCAAGAGCUGUUCCCAAGGAAUAUUCUUUUUUCUUUCUUUUUUUUUUGAGGAAGAUCAGCCCUGAGCUAACGUCUGCUGCCCAUCCUCCUCUUUUUGCUGAGGAAGACUGGCCCUGAGCUAACAUCCAUGCCCAUCUUCCUCUACUUUGUAUGUGGGACGUCUGCCACAGCAUGGCUUGAUGAGUGGUGCCAUGUCCACACCUGGGAUCCGAACCGGCGAACCCCAGACCACCAAAGCAGAAAGUGCGAACUUAACCACUGCACCACCAGCUCGGCCUCCCAAGGAAUAUUCUUAAUACAUGGCAAUAUCUGAUUCUCUCACUAGCUUCUCUCUCAGCUCUAGGUCUUGUGUGGCUGUUCUCCCUGCCUGGACUCUCUCACCUGUAAGCUGAGACUGGUGUCUACCCAGCUCUCCUCGGUCGUGCAGCCUCAGAUCUGGGGUGGGGGUCUGCAUGGAUGCUGUCUGACGCUCCUCCCUCUAGGCUGUGCGUGCACGCUCCCCUCCAUCAUAAAUGUCCCUCCACCUGCCUGCCUUCCUCUCUGGGCUGUGAGCUCUCGCAGGGCACAGGCUGUGUUGUAUUCAGUGCCGUGGAGCAGAGGUUGAAGUUAGAGAGAGUCUGAGUGUGAGGAGGAUGUGAUGUACUGGUUCUGAGAUGGAGGGGCCCACAUGCAAUGACCAGAGAGGGGCCUCGAGGAGCUGAGGGUGCCCCCAGCUGACAGCCAGCAAUAAAACGGAGACCUCAGUCCUACAACCACAGGAACUGGAUUCUGCCUGCGACCUGAAUGUACUUGGAAGCAGUCACCCCAGGGCCUCCAGAUGCAUAUGCAGCCCUGCUCAUGCCUGCAUUUUAGCCCACUGAGGCCUGGAGCUGAGAAUGUGGCCACGCUACGCUAGACUCUUGACCCAUUGGAACUGUGACGCAAUAAAUUUGUGUUACUUUAAGCUGCUAAGUUUGCGGUGAUUUGGUAUGGCAGCAACAAAGAACAAUUGGACUCUGUGGAUGCCCAGAUGACAAUUUUUGGAAUGAGCAGAUAACCACAGAUUCUGUCUUCUGAGGGUAUUAGCUCUGUGCUUGGGUCUCCCUAGGCUCCUGAAACGCACGGACUCUCCCACUCUCCCAGCGAUUCUGCGGGUUACAUGCUAUUAUUAUCCCCACUCUAGAGAUAGGCAAACUGAGGCCCAGAGAGGUUGGCUUACUUGCCUAGGGUUGCACAGCUGGCAAGUGGCAGAGGUGGGACUUUGGGCCAUCUUGCUCGAAGCUUCUCAUGUCACCACUACACCACACUAUCUUUCUGGCACUAUUUGGAGAUCCUGCCCAUUAUGUUCAUUUUUCAAAUUCUUGCCAUGUCCUCCCAUGGUCUUUCCUCUGUGUGUGAGCAUCCCUGGUGUCUGUCUCUCUUUGGAUGAGGACAUCCCUCCUAUCGGAUUGGGGCCACACCGUUAUGACCUCACUUAACGUUAAUCUCCUCCUUAAAGCCUCGGUCUGCACAUAAGUGACAUUGGGGGUUAGAGCUGCAACACCGGAAUUUUGUGGGAAUGCCUUUCAGUCCAUAACACCUGGCUAAUGCUUGUUCAUUUGUCCAGACUUCGACUUGGGGUCACCACCUCCAGAGAGCCUUGUUGACCUCUCCCCUCCUCCAAGUGGGGCCUGAUACAUGGGAUGUUUUUCUCUCAGGGCCUCCGAAGCUCCUUGGCCUUAUCUGUCUUUCUCCCCAGGCCCCCAGCUCCCUGAGGAGUGGAGGAGGUCAUCGAGAGGAUGUGACCGCCGGGGGACCCUUGAGCUGGACCCAGGCAAUGGGAGGCUCCUCGCCCCUCUGCUCUCCUUGGAUGGUGCAUUCUGCUUGCCUUCUUGGCACUAGAAGCUGCCUUGAGGACACAGCCUUGAAAUAGUAACGUGUUGCUGAGACCAUCCAGACAGUGCACGUGACCAAACCCCAUCAAGUCCUCUAUAUAAACCUGGAAGAUCCUGGUGGGUGGAUGCAGAGACCUAUUCGUCUGGCAGCGCCCAAGACAAGCCUUGUGUGGAAGUUUCCUUGCUGGUUACACUUGCCGCCCACUGGUCUGGAGUGGGCUGCCUCUUUCUUCAGUCUCUCCUCGCCCUCCGUGUACAGGGCCAGUUUGCAAACCAACAUGAGGGCAGGGGCUAGAGUUCAGGCAUUUUGUGCCUCCCCUGUCAGUGCCAGGACCUGGGUCUGAAGACGUGAUAGUGGCCAACAGGUGUCAAGUUCUCAGUAUGCGCCCGGCAUUCCACUACAGCGGCACUGUCCCUUACGGUAGCCAUGAGCCACACGUGGCCGCUGAGUCCUUGAAACAGGAGAACCUAACACAGAGGUCACACUGGAGAACGGGUCCCCUUCCCUUUCCAUCUCUGUGAGUAAGUAGGAGAAGGAUGCACAGCUGUGCUCUGGACUUGCUUCACAACCACCACAUGGCGGGAGGCUGCAGAGGAGCCUGGGGCGAGGUAUGCAGCUGGUGCUAUCAAUAAAAGACUCCUUUUCGCUUGUUUUUCUGUGGCUAAUCCUGGCAGCAGGACGCGCAGGAGACACGCUGGCAGAUGGAGUGGAGGAGAGGCCAGUGGAGAGAAAUACCUGGAGAAAUGCUCCGUGGAAGGGAAUCAGAGCCCCCUUACUCAAAGCAACCACCGUGGAGUUGGAAGGUCUUGGAGCUGAAGAUGUGGGCAUGUUGGGGGAGCUCCCCAGAUCAGACUGAAGUCCCUAUUGUUUGCUUUCCUGCUCUGGAGAGCCCACAACUCAUAGAGCACUAUUUCCAUAUCCAAGGCUGGACCACCUCUACAGCAUCCCUGAAGGAUACUCUUCCUUCCUUAACUUGAUCACCUUCGGGAUGACGUGCUCAUUGCCUCACCUGGGUCAGGAGAGCUGAGGUAGCGCUCUCCCACUUAAACACCACCACGCACAGAAAUGACGCCUGCAUUUCGAUGAACAGCAUAAGGAAAAGCACACGUCUUUUUCAUCCGCCUUUUCUAAAUGCCAGGUUCCUAUUAGAGAUGGAAAAAUGGAGGCACAGAAGGAUUAAGGCUAUUGUCCGAGGUCCCCGGUAGACAGGACUGCCCACGGCGUUAAAAAACCAGAACCCAAAGGCACAUGGAUUGACAAUACUGCCUUCUCUGCCCGAUGACUCACCCCAUGUCCGGCAAAGUCAUUCCUCGUUCUCUCUUUAAGGAGUCCUUGGAACCGCAGUCAAAAAUUAGGGUCAUCUGUCUGGGAAGUAUCAAUGUCACUUUGACAUUAUUGAAUGGUUUCGAAUGGCACAAAAGUUUUUGAAGGGUGAGUGCUGGGGGGGUGGUGGCACUGUUUCCAUGGUGAUGUGAAAAGGCCAGGCCAGCCCUGAAGUGCUGGGAGGUGGGGAGGAAAUAGGCGGUCUGUUUUUUUUUUUAACUUGAGGGUCGUAUUUGCAGGGAGAAUGGACCUAAAACUGCAUAGGAGGGAGAAUGCACCCCAAAGUGUGCAGAGGCAUGCUUCCAGGAGAGUCGGGGUUCUUCUGUCCUCAGCAGCUUAUGUAACGAGCCUGGAUGUGUGUCUCUACAUGUAUGUGUGCAUGUGCGCAUGUGUCUGUGUGUCUCUGAGUCUAUGUGUGUGUGUAUAUAUAUGUGUGUGUAUAUGUAUUUCUACGUGUCUCUGAGUGUAUGGGUGUGUGUUUGCAUUGGUGUGUACACAUGUGCAUCUCUGUGUCUGUGUGUUUAUGUGUAUGCGUCUCUGUGUGUGUACUUCCCCAAGGAAGGGCCAAGGCAGACAUCACUAGUCAACCACGGUAAGCCUCAAACUCCUUCUCUGCAGUGUUUCUCCCCUCUGCCAGCCCACUGGGGUCGACCGCAAGAGGAAAAUGAGGUGCCUUUCCAGUUCUCCGGUGCUAAGUGAGUUGGCAGCAGAGGAUGGAUGAACUCAGGACUUUCAGCUCUUGAUCCAUUGCUUUGUUUGGGCUCUGGAUUAACACACAGACUCUAGGAUUCAAAUCACGGCUCUGCUGGGUACCAGCUCUAUGACCUUGGCCAAGUCACUUAACUUUUCCAAGCCUCAGUUUUCUCAUCUGUAAAAUGGGUGGAACUCUACAUUUCUUCUUAGGGUUAUUUCGAGGCACCGAUGACACAGUCCAUGUAAGGGAGCCUCUUAGUACAGGGUAAAACUGCCAAGAUGCAGUAGCUGCUGCCUUCACCCCCCCCCCCCCCCCCAAAUUUAUAUUCCUUUGCAGGGCCCGGUACAGAAGCUGGAACCCAGGGGGAUCUAUGAUGUCACACUUCUCAUGGCCAGAUCGGGCCUCCGGGUUCUAGGUUCCAAGAAGAUGCCCGACUUCCUGGGAACUGUCCGUCCCUCCUCCCUCCCGGGAGCCCAAAUUCCAAGAAAUGCAGCUAAAAUUGGCCCUCGAACAGCUUUUGCAUAGCACGUCGCAGCUUUUUUUGGGUCUAGAGAGUCGGCUUUCAUGAUGAAAGUGGCACAGAAGGAGAGACCCAGCUAAAAACAGCCACCGCCCAGGUUGGUGUUAACAGGAUGCCGCCUCCCCAGCGUUUCGGGGGUUUGGACGCUUCGACUUCCGCAGCAGCUUUCCCCAUCACCACUAGGGGGCAGCAUCGCCACGCGCGGCGGGGACCGCGCCCGGGACCGUCACAAAGAGCCGCUGCGGAAAAGGAUGCCCGCAAAAAUCUACGCACCAGCCUCAGAAUUCUCCACUGAAUUUAUUCCCCUUUUAUUUGGGGCAUUUGUUUGCAUUGCAGGAGCUCCGCGGAAGUAGUUCUCCCAAGGGCCGUCUUAGCGUCUCAGAAGCAAAGCUAAGGGAUCGUCCGAGCCGCGUGGUGGCCCCGCUGCAGGCCUGUCACCCGCCCCCAGCCCACAGGACUAGAAAAAGUUUGCCAACUUCUGCCCCAAGUCUGCCAGACGGCACUGCGUGCUGUUGGUCCCUCGCAUCUCCCAGCUUGUUGCAUCUCUGGGACCCUCCCCCAUUUCUGCCUGUAGCAAACCUUUCCACCUCAGAAGGUCCAGCGAGAAGCGACCGCGUUCGGCGUGCCUUCAGCCAGCAUCUGCGGAGAGCUGGCGUGUGCCCGGCCUGUUGUGUGCUGGGAUGACGUCCUUGCUCUCAGGACGCUUAUAAAUUGCUGACCAGGCUGCUGACCAGAAGCAGAUCUAGAGCUUUCCAGGAACAGCUCUCGAGCUCUUGUUUCAUUGGUGUUGCAUCUUGAUGGCCUGAGGCCAGGAGUCUGCCUCCCAUUUCUAUGUCACUUAGCACACUGCUGGGCACACGGUGCAGGUCAUUAUAGUUCAUUUGAAUAAAUGAAUGAACUUCUCUCCCCUGGGUCCAUUUCUGGGUUGUCACUCUGGGGGCCAGACUCCAUCUCCCCCAAGUUUCUAGCUGUUUCUGGAUUCCCAUUUCUGGCCGGAUGCUAGUUGUGUCUGUGCUUCUCGAAAUUUCACGUGCAAUUUGCCUCACCC